GCUGCAGAGCCCAAAUGCUGUGUGCGGCCUCCCCUGGGCCCUGUGCGGCAGCUCCUGGGCUCUCCUGGCCUGAGGAGCCCGGGGCUGGAGGCAGCGCUGCAGAGGAGCCUCAGCUGGCCGGGGCAGAGGGGCAGCAUCCCCUCCCUCACCUCUGCCCGCUCUCUGCCCCAGGCUCCCCGGGUUCUCCUCUUCAUUCCAUUCUAAAAAUCUUCAUCAAUUGGAAGCUAUAAAGUUAUAUAAAUAUUAGUGAUGUGGAUUCAUUUCCACGGUCAUCAACAUUUGAAUGAGAACAAUACCCAUUUUCCAAGAAGCUGCAGUGUAUUUCAGGUCUUUUAUCCUCUGCCGAAACUUUUAAUCAACUUCAAUCCACGAAGAAUUAAUCAAUUUACAUCCAGGAAGAAUUUUGAAUACUUUGCAGCUGAACAGAAAGAGGCAUCAACUCAGACUUUACCAAAAGAUAUAAAAAUUGAAAAACACUGACAAGCAGAAAACACUUUCUUCCAGGGACAGAGCAAGUUAAAAAUCUUCCUCAAUUAAUAAAUUUGGUUAUUUUGUUUCUAUUCCAGUAUUAUUGGAAAUACUGUUCAUCAUGAGACCUGUGUGGGAAGGAAUCUAUCCCCAGUGUGGCCACACUCCUCUUUACUAAUCUGUCCUGACUACAUGCUCAAACAGUUGAAGGAGAGAACAAAAAAAUGCUGAAAAUUUACAUCAAAAGUGAAAGCCACAGACACAGCAGCUUCACUGCUGUCCUACUCUUUCUAAGGUAAAUUACUUCUUUCUGCAGUUUAUAAAGGGGAUGUAGAGAGGCAGAGUCUGUACUACUGCAACAAAGAUCUCAAGUACCUUGGAAAUAUUUUUACCUUUCAAAAACUCUGGCCUUGGAAAUAUUAAAAUUCACACAUAGACCAAAUACACAUAAAUAAAACCAUGUACCAAAACAUGUUUUACACCCAUAAGCUCCUUGGUUUCAAAGCCUUCUGUUUUUCCUGUAUUAAAUAUAAUGUAUUAAUAAGAAAUGCUGUGAUCUCUGUUAUGUCUUUAUGUCUGUUAUUGUUCAUUCUUUAAGUAUAAGUAUGUGGUACAUUGUAAAAAAAUGUCUGACCAGUCUAUUCUCCACACUGUUUACCCAGUCUGAGCGUAUUAAACCACAUGGAAUGUUACAUUUCACUUCCACAUGUAUAAACCCCAUGACUGUGUUCCAGAAGCUUCCAAAUACCAGUCCUCUGUAGAUCAAGAGAAAAAAGAAAAAACAACAAAAAAAGCAAUUUAGUGAAGCUCAGGAAUCCACACAAAUGCUAAUACAAAUGCAAGGUUUUAAAAAAGAAUGUGCUACACUGAUUAUUUUAUGCUUAUUUUCCUGUUUUUCAUUAAACUUCCUUCAGCUGUUAAAAAAUAGUGUUCUAAUUUAAAGCUGUUAGAUUCCAGUUUAAAUGUUAUUUCCACAUAUAUUGUAAAACACUGUCACCACUCACUGGUUUGUUGUGGACUUCUUGUAGCCAUGAAGAAAUAAAAGGUGCAAGGGAUUUUUUUUUCCCCCAAUACAUUAUGGCAAGCACUGAAAGCAGUAAAUGCUUUCUGACAUCUGAAAGCCUUCCUAACACAUCAUUGAACUCAGCAAGACCCUUUAUAGCACAAGAAGUAUGCCCAGGAUUAGGUUUAAAGUGGGAACUCAUUCUACAGAGCUCUUUAACACUGUUUGUGGCUGUUUUGUCAGUGAUACUCCAUGGGCAUUUCAAUUGUUUAAUGUUUGCUUGCUGACAUGACCCAUGGCUGGAUCAGGAAGACAAGGAAGAGAAGAAAUGCUAUCAGAAAGGGGGGAAAAAAGCCAGGCUCACAUGGAAUUUCACAAUGUUAUGCAUUAAUGUCAUAAAGGAUUAGGCAUGGAAGAAAAAAGAAGAUGAAUCAAGUGAGAGAAAUAUUCUUAAUGAGUGAUGGAGAAUGAUAUGAAGAAUCUCGUUAAUACCUAAGCUAAGUGUCUAUUAAGAGGACA